GAUGUAACCACAGAUGAGGAGAGCCUGUGCCUGACAUUUUAACCUAUUGCCAGAUCACUGGUCAUUGGGUCCUUCUGUGGCUUCUGUGUCCUGCUUGAUGGCCAGUAAUGUUCUCCUUUGAAGUGGCUAGCCAGUCUUGACCACCUGGACCCAGAAAAGAAAGCUAACUUAUCAUCUGUUACCUCUAGAGAAAGCAAGCAGACCCAGAGGACAUGAUUCUGUCUUCCCACAUGGAUUUAACCGAGUUGAAGGAUAAGGAGGACACCAGGACCUCCCCAGAGUUCUCUAUCACUUCCUUUGCCUGGAAGCUACCAGCCGGGAGCUUUCUCUCCACAGCUCCAAAAUCUAGUACUCACUUCUAAUCUUAGAUUCGUGAUGCAGAAGUUCAGAAAACUGUGCUUAGUUUGGGGAAAUGUUUACAAACAACAAAGUAAAGGGCCAAUUAUUAUAUUUCCCUUGGCAUUUACUUCCAUUUUUCAAAGAGUGGUAGCUUUGUAGAUAUAAAAGACGUUAUAAAAAUAUUAUAUUUUGAUUAUUGA